rnacentral:rRNA from 1 species
UACGUAGGGGGCGAGCGUUGUCCGGAUUUAUUGGGCGUAAAGAGCGUGUAGGCGGCCGAGUAGGUCCGGUGUGAAAACUGAAGGCUCAACCUUCAGAGGUCGAUGGAAACCGUUCGGCUAGAGUCCGGAAGAGGAGAGUGGAAUUCCUGGUAUAGCGGUGAAAUGCGCAGAUAUCAGGAAGAACACCCGUGGCGAAAGCGGCUCUCUGGGACGGUACUGACGCUGAGACGCGAAAGCGUGGGGAGCAAACAGG